CAUGGCUGCGUGCAGUCUCUCAAAAAGAAAAUGAUAUGCUCCCUGCAUACUGCAACAAAGGGCAUUCAUCAUCCAGGCAACCUCAAACACACAUAUUUCACCAUUGCUGUUGUCCACCCAAUCCUGCCGAUGGCGGUCAAAGCCACUGGAACAUCUGAAGGCAGAGGGGAUGAAUACCAGUAAAAAGGCACCGACUCCCGCCCCAGCUCCACUCCAGCUCCCAACUGGCUCUGUUUCCUUGGACCUCCCUCUGGACUCUGG